CACCCAGGUCAGUACUUGGCACCUAGCGAGCACUCAGUAAGUACUUGUUGAGUGCCUGCUGUGUCCUAGGCACUGUGCUGAGGGCU
rnacentral:miRNA from 1 species